AUGACUCGAUGCACUGACUGCCCACGGACUGCGCCACUGAAGAGGUUGACUUCAAAGGAGGAGAAGAAUGGGAACUUUGGGCGCGAGUUCGUCAAAUGCGAGAGCAAGCCGGAGGGGCAGAUCGUGAAGAAAUGCCACCAUUUCGAGUGGAUGGAUGAUUACAUCCAGAGGCUUCAAGGGUUGGGCUUGCUGGAUUCGAGGGGGGAUGCAAUCCGCGAGUUCAAUCUACCCCAUGAUAGUGCCGCUCCGGCAGCAGCAGCACGUCCGGAAUACCCGACGGUGGUAGAUGUCGAACUGAAGACGGAAUUGAAGAAGAUGAACAAGAACUUCAAGCAGCUGAUUGAGUUGAAGAAGCAAUCCAAUCUGAUAGCUUUAGGAAUACUUGCUCUAGGAAUUUUUUACUUGAUGGCCAUCUCUCGUUAG
rnacentral:rRNA from 1 species